UACGUAGGGUGCGAGCGUUGUCCGGAAUUAUUGGGCGUAAAGGGCUCGUAGGCGGUUUGUCGCGUCGGGAGUGAAAAUCCGAGGGCUAAACUCUGGACUGGCUUCCGAUACGGGCAGACUAGAGGUAUGGCAGGGGAGAACGGAAUUCCUGGUGUAGCGGUGAAAUGCGCAGAUAUCAGGAGGAACACCGGUGGCGAAGGCGGCUACCUGGCCCAACAUUGACACUGAGACCGAAAGCGUGGGGAUCAAACAGG
rnacentral:rRNA from 1 species